UACGUAGGGUGCGAGCGUUGUCCGGAAUUAUUGGGCGUAAAGAGCUCGUAGGCGGUUUGUCGCGUCUGCCGUGAAAGUCCGGGGCUCAACUCCGGAUCUGCGGUGGGUACGGGCAGACUAGAGUGAUGUAGGGGAGACUGGAAUUCCUGGUGUAGCGGUGAAAUGCGCAGAUAUCAGGAGGAACACCGAUGGCGAAGGCAGGUCUCUGGGCAUUAACUGACGCUGAGAGACGAAAGCUAGGGGAGCGAAUGGG
rnacentral:rRNA from 1 species